rnacentral:rRNA from 1 species
CCUACGGGAGGCAGCAGUAGGGAAUCUUCCACAAUGGGCGAAAGCCUGAUGGAGCAACGCCGCGUGGGUGAAGAAGGUCUUCGGAUCGUAAAACCCUGUUGUUAGAGAAGAAAGUGCGUGAGAGUAACUGUUCACGUUUCGACGGUAUCUAACCAGAAAGCCACGGCUAACUACGUGCCAGCAGCCGCGGUAAUACGUAGGUGGCAAGCGUUAUCCGGAUUUAUUGGGCGUAAAGGGAACGCAGGCGGUCUUUUAAGUCUGAUGGGAAAGCCUUCGGCUUAACCGGAGUAGUGCAUUGGAAACUGGUAGACUUGAGUGCAGAAGAGGAGAGUGGAACUCCAUGUGUAGCGGUGAAAUGCGUAGAUAUAUGGAAGAACCCCAGUGGCGAAAGCGGCUCUCUGGUCUGUAACUGACGCUGAGGUUCGAAAGCGUGGGUAGCAAACAGGAUUAGAUACCCGAGUAGUC